rnacentral:rRNA from 1 species
GAAGACUGAAGUGGAGAAAGGUUUGGUGGGAACAGCAGUUGGCCGCCAGUGAGCCGCUCCUAAGAGAUAGGGUAACGCCGUUCGGAAGUGGGUGACUUGCGCACCCCGCCUAUCGAAAGGGAACCAGGUUUAUAUUCCUGGGCCUGGUCGGAGACAGGUGGUAACACACACGAGCUAGACGACGUCGGAGGGAGCCUCGGGGAGAGUUCUCUUUUCUUGUUAACAGCCUAUUUCCCCGGAAUCGGUUCGCCCGGAGAUGGGGAUGCAUGGCUGGAAUAGCCGCCGCGCCUAGCGGCGGUCCGAAGCGCUCUCGACGGCCCUUGAAAAGUCUAGCGAGGUACUUUUAGUCAGUCUCGCACCAGGGCGUACUCAUAACCGCAUCAGGUCUCCAAGGUUACCAGCCUCUAGUCGAUAGAAGAAUG